rnacentral:rRNA from 1 species
UACGAAGGGGGCUAGCGUUGCUCGGAAUCACUGGGCGUAAAGCGCACGUAGGCGGAUCGUUAAGUCAGGGGUGAAAUCCUGGAGCUCAACUCCAGAACUGCCUUUGAUACUGGCGAUCUUGAGUUCGGGAGAGGUGAGUGGAACUGCGAGUGUAGAGGUGAAAAUUCGUAGAUAUUCGCAAGAACACCAGUGGCGAAGGCGGACUCACUG